CGGCGGACGGGUGAGUAACACGUGGAUAACCUACCUAUAAGACUGGGAUAACUUCGGGAAACCGGAGCUAAUACCGGAUAAUAUAUUGAACCGCAUGGUUCAAUAGUGAAAGACGGUUUUGCUGUCACUUAUAGAUGGAUCCGCGCCGCAUUAACUAGUUGGUAGGGUAACGGCUUACCAAGGCGACGAUGCGUAGCCGACCUGAGAGGGUGAUCGGCCACACUGGAACUGAGACACGGUCCAG
rnacentral:rRNA from 1 species